GUGGGGAAUUUUGGACAAUGGGCGCAAGCCUGAUCCAGCAACGCCGCGUGAAGGAAGAAGGCUUUCGGGUUGUAAACUUCUUUUACCAGGGACGAAACAAAUGACGGUACCUGGUGAAUAAGCCACGGCUAACUACGUGCCAGCAGCCGCGGUAAUACGUAGGUGGCGAGCGUUAUCCGGAUUUAUUGGGUGUAAAGGGCGUGUAGGCGGGACAGCAAGUCAGAUGUGAAAACCAGAGGCUCAAACUCUGGCCUGCAUUUGAAACUGUUGUUCUUGAGUGUCGGAGAGGUAAGCGGAAUUCCGUGUGUAGCGGUGAAAUGCGUAGAUAUACGGAGGAACACCAGUGGCGAAGGCGGAUUACUGGACGAUAACUGACGCUGAGGCGCGAAAGCGUGGGGAGCAAACAGGAUUAGAAACCCGAGUAGUCC
rnacentral:rRNA from 1 species